rnacentral:sRNA from 1 species
GAAAAAACAUAAAGAUAAUACUAAUGAUAAAAUUAGGAUUUUAGCUGUGAACAUGGCUAUGUAAAAGCUCACCUUUUUUGGAAAUUAUGCAAAAGUAACAGGAAAAUGAGAGAAAGAGGGGACAAACUAUUUUUAUAGACUAUCUGGGCAGUAGCAGAAGAAAAGAGGGCCUUUUGUUAUGAAAACCAUCCAGCCUUCAGAAAACAGCCUUGCUCACCCCAUCUUCAUGUCUCCCACAUAGCUAAUCUAAGAAACUUACUUAUUCAGUGAUGAAUAGUAUAAAGGGAACUAGCACAAGCUCAAUUUAUAGGAAAAAAUGAAGAACAGCAAAACAUAGAUAGGAUACAUGCUCCAGAAAACAUGUUGGCCUGGAAAAGAUGAAAUUUUCAAAUAUACAUUUUGCUGUAAAUUGGAAAAUACUUAAUGAAGUACCCAUAUCUUUGAGGAAAAGCUACAAAGCAGAGAAAUGUAAGAACUCAGAAAGAGAUGAAAUAUAAGCUGGAAGAAAAUAAAAUCAGAGGAAUCAAAACAAAAUCAAAAGGAAUACAGGGAAGAAUAGACACUGCGCAGAAUACUUCAUAAGGAAUAGAGUGAAACUGAGAAACUAAUAAUUUUUCAAGUUUAGAAAUAGAAAGACCUCAAUAUUUGAGUCCUUUUACAGAAAAUCUUACUCAAAUAAUAAGGAAAGUUACUUUCUCUCAUAACAAGAUGGAAAUAGGGUGGUUCCAAGGUUGGGUUACAGGGUAGCUCAAUGAUGUUAUUCUGCCCUGCCAAUGUCAGUGUGUGAGCCCAGUUCUCCACAUGGUCGGAGUGGCAACAGAAUUCCCAGGUAUAAUAUCCACACAUAACAACAAAGGACUUAUAUCCAGAAUAUAUGAACUCCUAUAAAAGUUAUUACUAAAUAAGGCAGACCAAUACAAAAUGGGCAAAUGACUUGAACAGACAAUUAACGUAGGAAGAUCUACAGGUAGCCAAUACGUCAUGAAAAAGUGCUUACCAUCAUUAGUUGUCAAGGAAAUAGAAAUUAAAACUACAAUGAUAUACCACUACCUACCCAAAAGAAUGGGUAAAAUGAUGAAGAUUGACAUUAUGACACGUGUUGGCAAAGAUGUACAACUGAAACUCUAGAACUGGAACAUUGCUGGUGAAUGUGUGAAGUGGGAUAGCAGUUUUGGAAAAGUUUGACAGUUUCUUAUAAAGUAUGCACUUACUGUACAGCUCAGCAAUUUCACUCCUACGUAUUUAUUCAAGAGCAAUGUAAACAUGUCCACAAAAAUAUUUGUACAUGAAUAUUUAUUGCAGCUUUAUGCAAGAUAGCUUCAAACUAGAAACAGGCCAAAUUUUCAUUAAAAGGUGAGUGGAUAAACUGUGGUAUAUUCAUUCAGUGAAAGAAUACUCAGAAAGGUAUGAAUUUCUCAUGUACACAUACAUGAAUAUAUCUCAGAAACAUGCUGAUUGAAAGAAACAGGACACAAAAGAAUAUAUCCCUUUUAUGCUAUUUUUAUGUAAUUCUAGAACUGGCAAAAAAUAAUCUGUAGUGACAGAAAGUAAAUCAGUGGUUGCCUGGGACUGGGGUGUGCAGAUUUGACCAAAAUGGGGCCUGAGGUGAUGGACAUUUUUAUUGUGGUAGUGGUCACAUGGGAAAAUGUGUUGUCAAAAUUUAUCAAAUUGUACACUUGAACACAUUUUAUUGUGUAUAAACUAUACCUCCAUGUAGUUGACUUAAAAAGUGUUUUGUAAACUUCCUAAAGAUAGACUAUAAAUUACAGUAUCUGCAGGGUAAGCAAUAAACUUUUUGUUGAGUUGAUGAAAAGAUAAAUGCCUGAGUUGCCAGUAUUAGUGACCGAAACCUUUCUGAACUUCCCUGUUUGUACAUACACUUUUUCUUUUCCUUUUUUUUAAGAAACAGGGUCUUACUCUGUUACCCAGGCUGGAAUGUAGUGUCAUGAUCUCAACUCACUGCAACCUCCACCUCCUGGGCUCAAGCAGUCCUCCCAACUUAGCCUUCUGAGUAGCUGGAACUACAGGCACAUGCCACCAUGCUCAGCUAAUUUUUGUAUGAUUUGUAGAGAUGGGAUUUCACCACAUUGCCCAGGCUGGUCUUUAACUCCUGGGCUCAAGCGAUCUGCCCACCUUGGCCUCCCAUGUACAUAUAUUUUCAAACUGAACAGAAAGUACAAUGAAGAUUAUUUGUUUUUUUCUUUGAUGGAGGAAUGCUGUAGACAUUUACUAGUGAUAUGUUAAGUAAUAAAUAAGCAUACUAAGUUAUAUUGCUGAGCAUCAAACUGGGAUACCAGUUAAUAAGCUAGACACAGUCCUUGCUUUCAUGAAGUUUUGCAGUCUAAUGGGAGAAGACUGUUAAUUCCAAAAAUAGUUAUAUAGUUAUCAGCAAAGGUAAAGACAAGUGCUGUAAGUGUGAAUAACAUAAGGAUGUAGUUUGAUGUGGUUAGUAUGGUUUAUUUAAUAAUGUUCAUUAACUUGUUCUUGGAAUUUCAAGCCUAUGAUCAUGUUUCUUUUGGGAUUAUUUUAAGGAUAAGAUGUUUGUUUCUAGCACAUUAUUUAAAUGAUCUCUAGCGUUUUUUGGCUUUUGCAAAUGCACCAUAUUUUCCAUUUUUUAUUUCUAGGUGACAACUGUUGAUAGAUUUCAAGGUCAACAGAAUGAUUAUAUUCUUCUUUCUCUGGUACGAACCAGGGCAGUGGGCCAUCUGAGGGAUGUCCGUCGCUUGGUAGUGGCCAUGUCUAGAGCCAGACUUGGACUUUAUAUCUUUGCCAGAGUAUCCCUCUUCCAAAACUGUUUUGAACUGACUCCAGCUUUCAGUCAGCUCACAGCUCGCCCCCUUCAUUUGCAUAUAAUUCCAACAGAACCUUUCCCAACUACUAGAAAGAAUGGAGAGAGACCAUCUCACGAAGUACAAAUAAUAAAAAAUAUGCUCCAGAUGGCAAACUUUGUAUACAACAUGUACAUGCAUUUGAUACAGACUACACAUCAUUAUCAUCAGACUUUAUUACAACUACCACCUGCUAUGGUAGAAGAAGGUGAGGAAGUUCAAAAUCAAGAAACAGAAUUGGAAACAGAAGAAGAGGCCAUGACUAUUCAAGCUGACAUCAUACCCAGUCCAACAGACACCAGCUGCAGUCAAGAAACUCCAGCCUUUCAAACUGACACCCCCCCUAGUGAGACAGAAGCCAGUUCCAAUCCAGAAGCCAUCCCUGCUUUAUCUGAGACCACCCCUACUAUGGCAGGAGUUGUAUCUGCACCAGCAGAGGCUAACACACCUCAGGAUGCCACAUCUGCCCCACAAGAGACCAAGUAGCCAAACUGUAGUCCUUCUAAAGGAGGACAUGGCAUUCAAAAAGUCUGAGUAAAGUUAUUUUUUGUAUUUUAUACUUGCUUCUGCCAUUUUACUGUCACUAAUUAAUGUUCAGUUCUUACAUUUGUUAACUGAUUUCAGUGUCUUGAAUAUUUUUUUUAAAUUAUGUGUAUGAACAAUUCUAGUUUCAUUUGUUCAAUCAGAAGAGCAAAUAACCAUUCCUUUCAUGUUUUGAUCACCGAGUGUGUCUGUAAUCAUACCUACAUUAAAAUCAUUUUCUAUAGAAUAUAUAAUA